rnacentral:rRNA from 1 species
GCUCCUCGAUUCAGCGGCGGACGGGUGAGUAAUGCCUAGGAAUCUGCCUGGUAGUGGGGGACAACGUUUCGAAAGGAACGCUAAUACCGCAUACGUCCUACGGGAGAAAGCAGGGGACCUUCGGGCCUUGCGCUAUCAGAUGAGCCUAGGUCGGAUUAGCUAGUUGGUGGGGUAAAGGCUCACCAAGGCGACGAUCCGUAACUGGUCUGAGAGGAUGAUCAGUCACACUGGAACUGAGACACGGUCCAGACUCCUACGGGAGGCAGCAGUGGGGAAUAUUGGACAAUGGGCGAAAGCCUGAUCCAGCCAUGCCGCGUGUGUGAAGAAGGUCUUCGGAUUGUAAAGCACUUUAAGUUGGGAGGAAGGGCCGUUACCUAAUACGUGAUGGUUUUGACGUUACCGACAGAAUAAGCACCGGCUAACUCUGUGCCAGCAGCCGCGGUAAUACAGAGGGUGCAAGCGUUAAUCGGAAUUACUGGGCGUAAAGCGCGCGUAGGUGGUUGGUUAAGUUGGAUGUGAAAGCCCCGGGCUCAACCUGGGAACUGCAUCCAAAACUGGCCAGCUAGAGUAGGGCAGAGGGUGGUGGAAUUUCCUGUGUAGCGGUGAAAUGCGUAGAUAUAGGAAGGAACACCAGUGGCGAAGGCGACCACCUGGGCUCAUACUGACACUGAGGUGCGAAAGC